rnacentral:lncRNA from 1 species
AGACAACUCCACGCGCCACCAAGCCUACUACUUUACACGCAACGUCGGAUACUUCAAACGACACCGCCGGAGGAAGCGAGACCGACGCACGCCCUGAAGGUAAAAUACCGUCGAAGUCCGAACUGAGCGGAGUAGAAAGACUCCUCCUGCACCGAGACGCCAAGGCGGAGGAGACAGAGCCGACACCACCGCACCACACAGACAAAGAUCCGAACAGAUCUGUGUCAGGAGAGCCGAUUCAGUGAAGCACGCGCCAGCAAGCUCCGGCUAGAUCCAGAUCGAGCAAAGAGGAAAAACGUCAAUCUAAAUCAAACCACCGUAAAAGCCGACCUUGCCACAUCCUGACCACCUUAGCCUCACCGCCACUCCGGAGGAAGCCGACCACCUGACAGAGCCAUCACCAGCGUCCCGGAUCUGAAGAUCUGAUGGUGGAUCGACUCCUAGAGUCUUAGCAUAUCGGACAAAGAGGUUUGAGGAGCAUAAGAGGCAAGAAAAAAAACAAGAUAAAGGGGAGAGGGG